rnacentral:rRNA from 1 species
UCCUGACUGACCGAUAGUGAACCAGUACCGUGAGGGAAAGGCGAAAAGAACCCCGGCGAGGGGAGUGAAAAAGAACCUGAAACCGUGUACGUACAAGCAGUGGGAGCCUCUUUUAUGGGGUGACUGCGUACCUUUUGUAUAAUGGGUCAGCGACUUAUAUUCUGUAGCAAGGUUAACCGAAUAGGGGAGCCGAAGGGAAACCGAGUCUUAACUGGGCGUUAAGUUGCAGGGUAUAGACCCGAAACCCGGUGAUCUAGCCAUGGGCAGGUUGAAGGUUGGGUAACACUAACUGGAGGACCGAACCGACUAAUGUUGAAAAAUUAGCGGAUGACUUGUGGCUGGGGGUGAAAGGCCAAUCAAACCGGGAGAUAGCUGGUUCUCCCCGAAAGCUAUUUAGGUAGCGCCUCGUGAAUUCAUCUCCGGGGGUAGAGCACUGUUUCGGCAAGGGGGUCAUCCCGACUUACCAACCCGAUGCAAACUGCGAAUACCGGAGAAUGUUAUCACGGGAGACACACGGCGGGUGCUAACGUCCGUCGUGAAGAGGGAAACAACCCAGACCGCCAGCUAAGGUCCCAAAGUCAUGGUUAAGUGGGAAACGAUGUGGGAAGGCCCAGACAGCCAGGAUGUUGGCUUAGAAGCAGCCAUCAUUUAAAGAAAGCGUAAUAGCUCACUGGUCGAGUCGGCCUGCGCGGAAGAUGUAACGGGGCUAAACCAUGCACCGAAGCUGCGGCAGCGACGCUUAUGCGUUGUUGGGUAGGGGAGCGUUCUGUAAGCCUGUGAAGGUGUGCUGUGAGGCAUGCUGGAGGUAUCAGAAGUGCGAAUGCUGACAUAAGUAACGAUAAAGCGGGUGAAAAGCCCGCUCGCCGGAAGACCAAGGGUUCCUGUCCAACGUUAAUCGGGGCAGGGUGAGUCGACCCCUAAGGCGAGGCCGAAAGGCGUAGUCGAUGGGAAACAGGUUAAUAUUCCUGUACUUGGUGUUACUGCGAAGGGGGGACGGAGAAGGCUAUGUUGGCCGGGCGACGGUUGUCCCGGUUUAAGCGUGUAGGCUGGUUUUCCAGGCAAAUCCGGAAAAUCAAGGCUGAGGCGUGAUGACGAGGCACUACGGUGCUGAAGCAACAAAUGCCCUGCUUCCAGGAAAAGCCUCUAAGCAUCAGGUAACAUCAAAUCGUACCCCAAACCGACACAGGUGGUCAGGUAGAGAAUACCAAGGCGCUUGAGAGAACUCGGGUGAAGGAACUAGGCAAAAUGGUGCCGUAACUUCGGGAGAAGGCACGCUGAUAUGUAGGUGAAGCGACUUGCUCGUGGAGCUGAAAUCAGUCGAAGAUACCAGCUGGCUGCAACUGUUUAUUAAAAACACAGCACUGUGCAAACACGAAAGUGGACGUAUACGGUGUGACGCCUGCCCGGUGC